rnacentral:rRNA from 1 species
GACAGAGGCCCCAAGCGUUAGGCGGAAUCACUGGGCUUAAAGCGUGUGUAGGCGGAUCGUUAAGUGUCUUGUGAAAUCCCACGGCUCACCCGUGGAACUGCUGGGCAUACUGGCGAUCUUGGGCCAACUAGGGGCAGUCGGAACAAGCGGUGGAGCGGUGAAAUGCGUAGAUAUCGCUUGGAACGCCGAAGGUGAAACCAGACUGCUGGGGUUGCGCCGACGCUGAGACACGAAAGCCAGGGGAGCAAACGGG